rnacentral:rRNA from 1 species
UACGAAGGGGGCUAGCGUUGUUCGGAAUUACUGGGCGUAAAGCGUGCGCAGGCGGCGCGUUAAGACAGGUGUGAAAGCCCCGAGCUUAACUUGGGAAUUGCGCUUGUGACUGGCGUGCUGGAGUGUGGCAGAGGGAGGUGGAAUUCCACGUGUAGCAGUGAAAUGCGUAGAGAUGUGGAGGAACACCGAUGGCGAAGGCAGCCCCCUGGGCUGAGAUUGACGCUCAGGCACGAAAGCGUGGGGAGCAAACAGG